AUUGCAUUACAUGGCCCAAAGGGCAACAUACAUUUCUGGCCCUAGAUGAUAAAAAUAGAGGCUCAAAAUUAGCUCAAACAAUCCAAAUAUACUAGCAGCCCAACCCAAACUCCCACCUAUCCAGAAACCCUAGGAGAAGAGGAAGAAGCAUCACGCCACCGUUCUUACAACCUUCAGAACGCUGGAUUACUGAACAAGGUUGAGAUCACCAACAAAACCAAUAAUCUCAAAAAGGACUUAUAACAAGCAACAAGAAGCGCAGGCUCAAAGCUCGUUCAGCUAUAGACCACCAUCUUUAGCAAGUUCAAACCCACAUGCAUGGCUAGAAGAGAGA
rnacentral:misc_RNA from 1 species